rnacentral:tRNA from 1 species
GUCCCAGUAGCGUAGUGGUUAACGCACAGUCCCGGUUGGGCGCGAGACGCGGGUUCGAAUCCCGUCUAAGAUG